rnacentral:rRNA from 1 species
GAUGAACGCUGGCGGCGUGCCUAAUACAUGCAAGUCGAGCGAAUGGAUUAAGAGCUUGCUCUUAUGAAGUUAGCGGCGGACGGGUGAGUAACACGUGGGUAACCUGCCCAUAAGACUGGGAUAACUCCGGGAAACCGGGGCUAAUACCGGAUAACAUUUUGAACCGCAUGGUUCGAAAUUGAAAGGCGGCUUCGGCUGUCACUUAUGGAUGGACCCGCGUCGCAUUAGCUAGUUGGUGAGGUAACGGCUCACCAAGGCAACGAUGCGUAGCCGACCUGGAAGGGGGAUCGGCCACACUGGGACUGAGACACGGCCCAGACUCCUACGGGAGGCAGCAGUAGGGAAUCUUCCGCAAUGGACGAAAGUCUGACGGAGCAACGCCGCGUGAGUGAUGAAGGCUUUCGGGUCGUAAAACUCUGUUGUUAGGGAAGAACAAGUGCUAGUUGAAUAAGCUGGCACCUUGACGGUACCUAACCAGAAAGCCACGGCUAACUACGUGCCAGCCGCCGCAGUAACAC